UGAAAUCCAGCGUGUUCUGGUGGGCGUGGGGCAUGGCCGGGGUAUAAACUGGUCCCGGGUAUCCUCUCCCCUAGCUCACCCUUGCCAAUUUCUCUAGGAGCCACCAUCGCCGUAGAAUUUGCGCGCGCGGCGGAAGAACCUCGCCAGACCCCGCCGUCGUCGACCGGCAUCCGCACGCGCCGCCCCGACCUCAACCUGUGAUCGGGGGUCGUCUCUGGGUUCGCAAAACCUCGCGACCAAGUGCCCGAGCGCGGGGUUCCGCGGGUGGCCGGAAUUUCGUCACCGUACCGUCGAAUUUGUCGCGACGCGUGAACAGCCUGUGUGCAGCUUCGUUCUCGGUGAGUUCCGAACCUGUGAAGUUCACCUCGUCGUCCUUCAUGCGUAGCACCAUUUUAUUCGGAGUCUGGGCGGUGGUUCGCCAGUUUAGCCAUGUCCGACCAUGGCGCCACCGCAUGUGAGAGCGCCGUCGCGUCUGUUCGCCGGGGAGAACAGGUGAUGGGGAACGAUGCGUUAGAAGCCAUCGAUCUCAGGAUUAGCGGUUAAGAUUAGAUCACUACUUACCCCUUCACGCAAUCAAUCCUGACCGUAGAUCUCAUAUCCAGUGGCUGCAGUUAGAUCUUAGUAUUUAAAAUCUACGUCGUCAGAUCCAAAUCUGAGGGCCGAGAUUGCGUACCGGUUCGCGAUGGGACUGAUCUAAUCCGGGCCAUCCGCGCUUGAUCGGACGGCCGUUAACGCUUCAUACCCCUUCGGUGUGCGCAGUUUGCAGAAAGAACCUUAUAAUUUUAGCGAAUCAACCCGCCAUCCCUGCCAGUAGCUUUCUGUGUCUUAGGCAUUUUUCUGUAUUAACCCCUGCGCUUCACAAUAAAUGAAGCCCAGUCCAGUGCUGUUUGAAAUUGAAUAAAUAAAUUGGAAAAUGGAUUUUUAAUAUGAAAAUAAUUACUAUGACUUGAUAAAUUCAUAGAAAAUUCAUAUGAACUCUAAAUUAACCCAUUCCACUUUCUAAAUUUUUGUAAUAUUAUUUUCUAUCAUCUAGAGUCCCUGUUUUGUCAUGAAAACAGUAAGAAAAAUAAUUUCUCACUUAAUCCUAUUUAAGCACAUAAAACCUUUGGAAAUUCAUAUCUUAAAAUCUAUAACUCCAAAAAUUAUGAUUCAUGUUAUUAGGAUUAUAUUUUAAUGUGUAGAUUAUUAUUAUGUAUUUUGUUUACAUGUUUGGUGUGAUGUUAAUUUUCUCUAUAUAUUGUGCUUGUUUGUAUUGUGGCGAGUAGAAGAGCCUGUGACUGAGGAUCCUGGUGCCUAGCAGAUAGAAGUAGCUGAGCAGGAGCUCAUUGAAGGCAAGUUGUGCCCUUGACUACUUUUAUACCCAAUAAUGUUCUUUAAUGUCAUUAUUCAUGCAUAUGUUUAAUUUUGAUGGGACCCGAUAGGUCACCCUAGAUUGUUUAUCACUUUACCUUGUUAUCCUGAAUCGCAUGGGUAGCUUUGCUAUUGCUUUACAUGGGUUUGGGAUAAUAUUUCAUUAUAUCCAUGUUCCAGUUAUUUUGUUAUUCUAUUUAUGUUCAUGUCAAGAUCAUUAAUGUUAAUUGGAACAUGGAGCUUAACUUGAGAAACAUGUGCCACCACAAGGGUUUAAUGGGACGCCCUUGGCCAACUAACUAGGAAAGCUAGUGGAAGACUACCUUACCCGAAAGGGGCAAGGGCAGUAGGGGAGUUGCAUGUAGGGAGGUUCUCGGGUUGAUUUUGCUGUGAUGGCAGUCAGACGGGGGAUUCUUGCAAGUGCUCUUCCCAUAAACUGUAGCGGGUUUUCGGAAGCUAGUGGAACUUUGUAAAGGCCUCGUAGUGUUGCCCUGCCUCGCUUCCUUGGUAGAGGUGUAUGGGAGUCGUGAUCCCUUGGCAGAUGGGUAACAUGACUUGUGGGUACAGGGUACAACCUCUACAGAGUGUAAAACUGGUAUACUAGCCGUGCUCGCGGUCAUGAGCAGCUCAGGACUCUCGCAUGAUUAAUUUAUGAAACAUAAAUUCAAUUUGUCAUUUGCAUUGCAUGGGAUUAUGUAUUAAUUUUGUUUUAUUACUUUUAUUAAGGUUUGAUAUUUACUUACAUUUAGUAACUGCUAAUAAAAUUUUGACCAACUAAUUAAAAGCAAUGCUCAGCUUUAACCCCUAUUGUUGAUUAGCCUUACACAUCACAUGGACUCCCACCUUUGGUGAGUUCAUGCCCACUGGUUUCCCCACAACUUGUUGAGCUAUGAUCAUGUGUGAGCUCACCCUUCUGUCUCACACCCCCAACAGAAGAAGAACAGGUGGUUCAGGAGGAGCCACAAAGCGAGGAGUUUGAUCUGAUCUAGGUGGCGUUUCCCCAGUUGACUCUUGCGCCAAGGAUGAUCCUUAGUUCGUUUUAUAUUCAUCUUUUAUUUUGUAAUG
rnacentral:lncRNA from 1 species